AGUGGCAGACGGGUGAGUAACACGUGGGAACGUACCCUUUUACUACGGAACAACUCCGGGAAACUGGAGCUAAUACCGUAUGUGCCCUUCGGGGGAAAGAUUUAUCGGUAAAGGAUCGGCCCGCGUUGGAUUAGCUAGUUGGUGGGGUAAAGGCCUACCAAGGCGACGAUCCAUAGCUGGUCUGAGAGGAUGAUCAGCCACAUUGGGACUGAGACACGGCCCAAACUCC
rnacentral:rRNA from 1 species